GUAACAUUCAGGGAUGUGGCCAUAGAAUUGUCUCCAGAAGAGUGGAAAUGCCUGCACCCUGCCCAGCAGAAUUUGUAUAGAGAUGUGAUGUUGGAGAACUACAGAAACCUGGUCUCCCUGGGUGUUGCUAUCUCUAACCCAGACCUGGUCACCUGUCUGGAGCAAAUAAAAGAGCCCUACAAUGUGAAGAUACAUAAGAUCGUAGCCAGACUCCCA
rnacentral:lncRNA from 1 species